rnacentral:rRNA from 1 species
AGAACGAACGCUGGCGGCGUGGAUAAGACAUGCAAGUCGAGCGAGAUUUUUUCUUGUAGCAAUACAGGGAAAAGUCUAGCGGCGAACGGGUGCUUAACACGUGGGCAACCUGCCAAGAAGUGGGGGAUAGCUCGCCGAAAUGCGAAUUAAUACCGCAUGUGAUUAGAGUGGACAUCCAUUCGAAAUCAAAGUCGGGGCAACCUGACGUUUCUUGAGGGGCCCGCGGCCUAUCAGCUAGUUGGUGAGGUAACGGCCCACCAAGGCUAAGACGGGUAGCUGGUCUGAGAGGACGACCAGCCACACUGGGACUGAGACACGGCCCAGACACCUACGGGUGGCAGCAGUCGAGAAUUUUCUCAAUGGGGAAACCCUGAAGGAGCGACGCCGCGUGGAGGAUGAAGGUCUUCGGGUUGUAAACCGCUUUCACCAGGGGCGAAGCGAGAGUGACGGUACCUGGGGAAGAAGCGCCGGCUAACGUACGCGCCAGCAGCCGCGGU